rnacentral:rRNA from 1 species
UGCCAGCCGCCGCGGUAAUACGAAGGGCCCGAGCGUUGCGCGGAAUCAUUGGGCUUAAAGCGUACGUAGGCGGGCGCGCAGGCGUCUUGUGAAAGCCCUCGGCUCAACCGAGGAACUGCUUGACGAACCGCGUGUCUUGAGGCAAGUAGGGGCUGUCGGAACGAUAGGUGGAGUGGUGAAAUGCGUUGAUAUCUAUCGGAACGCCGAAGGAGAAAUCAGGCAGCUGGGCUUGUCCUGACGCUGAGGUACGAAAGCGUGGGGAGCGAACGGGAUUAGAUA